rnacentral:rRNA from 1 species
AUUGAACGCUGGCGGCAGGCCUAACACAUGCAAGUCGAACGAGUGGCGGACGGGUGAGUAAUGUAUGGGAAACUGCCCGGUGGAGGGGGAUAACUACUGGAAACGGUGGCUAAUACCGCAUACCAUCGGAUGUGCCGAGAUGGGAUGAGCUAGUGGGUGGGGUAAUGGCUCACCUAGGCGACGAUCCCUAGCUGGUCUGAGAGGAUGACCAGCCACACUGGAACUGAGACACGGUCCAGACUCCUACGGGAGGCAGCAUUGGGGAAUAUGGCACAAUGGGCGCAAGCCUGAUGCAGCCAUGCCGCGUGUAUGAAGAAGGCCUUCGGGUUGUAAAGUACUUUCAGCGGGGAGGCGUUACUCGCAGAAGAAGCACCGGCUAACUCCGUGCCAGCAGCCGCGGUAAUUC